rfam:Pedobacter glucosidilyticus strain DD6b PBAC_contig000013, whole genome shotgun sequence.
UUGUGCCGGGUUAGUCUUCUACGACCAGCUCCUUCUGAACUCCCCCAGGGUGGGAACGCAGCAAGGGUAAGAGGUUGUAGCGGUGCGAUAGAAGGUGCUAGCCCACUU